UGAGUGGAUGGGGAGCAACCUAUGUUGUGCUGUGUAAAGGUAGUGCCAAGAAAAGCGAUGAUCAUGUUGAAAAUCAAUUCCCGGUACCCGAAACCGACACAGGUGGGCAAGUAGAGAAUACUAAGGGGCGCGAGGUAACUCUCUCCAAGGAACUCGGCAAAAUGACCCCGUAACUUAGGGAGAAGGGGUGCCACCGAGAGGUGGUCGCAGUGAAGAGGCCCAGGCGACUGUUUAGCAAAAACAUAGGUCUCUGCAAACUCGAAAGAGGAGGUAUAGGGGCUGACGCCUGCCCAGUGCCGGAAGGUUAAAGAAGUUGGUCAGUUUUAGGAUGAAGCUAGCGACUGAAGCCCCGGUGAACGGCGGCCGUAACUAUAACGGUCCUAAGGUAGCGAAAUUCCUUGUCGGGUAAGUUCCGACCCGCACGAAAGGCGUAACGAUCUGGGCGCUGUCUCGGAGAGAGGCUCGGCGAAAUAGGAUUGUCUGUGAAGAUACGGACUACCUGCAUUUGGACAGAAAGACCCUAUGAAGCUUUACUAUAGCUUGGAAUUGUGUUCGGGCUUCCUGUGCGCAGGAUAGGUGGGAGGCGUAGAAGGUAUUCUUGUGGGGAUACUGGAGCCAACGGUGAGAUACCACUCUCAGGAGGCUAGAAUUCUAACUUAAUUAAGGACAGUUUCAGGUGGGUAGUUUGACUGGGCGGUCGCCUCCAAAAAGGUAACGGAGGCGUACAAAGGUUCCCUCAGACUGGUUGGAAAUCGGUCGAAGAGUGCAAAGGCAGAAGGGAGCUUGACUGCGAGAAGUACAGUUCGAGCAGGGUGGAAACACGGUCUUAGUGAUCCGACGGUGCUGUGUGGAAGGGCCGUCGCUCAACGGAUAAAAGUUACUCUAGGAUAACAGGCUGAUCUCCCCCAAGAGUUCACAUCGACGGGGAGGUUUGGCACCUCGAUGUCGGCUCAUCGCAACCUGGGGCGGAAGUACGUCCCAAGGGUUGGGCUGUUCGCCCAUUAAAGCGGUACGUGAGCUGGGUUCAGAACGUCGUGAGACAGUUCGGUCCAUAUCCGAUGUAGGCGUGAGAAUAUUGAGAGGAGCCUUCCUUAGUACGAGAGGACCGGGAAGGACGCACCGCUGGUGUACCUGUUAUGAUGCCAAUUGUAAACGCAGGGUAGCCAAGUGCGGAGAGGAUAACCGCUGAAAGCAUCUAAGUGGGAAGCCCACCUCAAGAUGAGUAUUCUGGUGUAAGGUCACGGGAAGACGACCCGUAAAUAGGCACGAGGUGGAAGUGCAGAGAUGUAUGAAGCCGAAGUGUACUAAUAGACCGUCGGCUUGACC
rnacentral:rRNA from 1 species